rnacentral:rRNA from 1 species
AGAGUUUGAUCAUGGCUCAGAACGAACGCUGGCGGCGUGCUUAACACAUGCAAGUCGCGCGAUUCUCGAAGUUCGGGGUUGGGAGUUCGAACCUCGAACUUCGAACCUCGAACUUCGAGAAUAGCGGCGGACGGGUGAGUAACACGUGGAUAACCUACCCAUUAGACCAGGAUAACACCGGGAAACUGGUGCUAAUACCGGAUAAGCUCUUUAGAGUAAAAGCCUUAAAGAGGAAAGGGGAAACUCACUAAUGGAUGGGUCCGCGUCCUAUUAGCUAGUUGGUAGGGUAACGGCCUACCAAGGCGACGAUGGGUAGCCGGCCUGAGAGGGUGACCGGCCACACUGGGACUGAGACACGGCCCAGACUUCUACGGGAGGCAGCAGUGGGGAAUAUUCCGCAAUGGGGGAAACCCUGACGGAGCAAUGCCGCGUGAGUGAAGAAGGCCUUUGGGUCGUAAAACUCUGUCUUGAGGGACGAAAAAAAUGACGGUACCUCAAAAGAAAGCCCCGGCUAACUACGUGCCAGCAGCCGCGGUAAAACGUAGGGGGCGAGCGUUGUCCGGAAUUACUGGGCGUAAAGGGCGUGUAGGCGGCCUGUGUAGUCAAGUGGUGAAAACCCGGGGCUUAACUUCGGGAUGGCCCUUGAAACCAACAGGCUUGAGGACAGGAGAGGGGAGUGGAAUUUCCGGUGUAGCGGUGAAAUGCGUAGAUACCGGAAAGGAACACCAGUGGCGAAGCGGCUCCCUGGCAUGGUCCUGACGCUGAGGCGCGAAAGCGUGGGGAGCAAACAGGAUUAGAUACCCUGGUAGUCCACGCCGUAAACGAUGGG